GGGGGGUGGAACGCGGCAGUGAGACUGCGGGGGAUAAGCUUCGUAGUCGAAAGGGAAACAGCCCAGAUCAGCAGCUAAGGUGCCUAAAUAGUGCUCAGUGGAAAGGAGGUGGGAUUUCAUAGACAGUGAGGAUGUUGGCUUAGAAGCAGCCACCAUUUAAACAAAGCGUAACAGCUGACUCAUCGAGAGAUCCUGCGCCGAAAAUGAUUGGCGAUAAGCACUAUACCGAAGCUCUGGAUGCACAGCUUGCUGUGCGUGGUAGAGGAGCGUUCUCAACACCUUGAAGCCUUAAGGCGACUGAUGGUGGAGCGUUGAGAAGUGAGUAUGUAGACAUGAGUAACGAUAAGCCAGGUGAGAUCCCUGGCCGCCGUAAACCCAAGGUUUCCUGGGCCAUGCUGGUCAUCCCAGGGUUAGUCGGGACCUAAGCCGAGGCCGAUGGGCGUAGGCGAUGGACUAAAGAGGUUAAUAUUCCUCGACUUCCGAACCUUAAACUAGAAGGACGCAUAUUGAAUGAAGACAAGCUUAUUGAAUUGUGAGACGCAGGGUAUCGUCCCGGUCGUAUCUUUUGAAGAUGUGCCAAGAAAAGUUCUAGUGUAUGCUAAUGGAACCCGUACCGUAAACCGACACAGGUGGGUGGGUAGAAUAUACUAAGGCGCAAGAGUGAAACCCUGUUAAGGAACUCGGCAAUCUAGCCCCGUAACUUCGGGAGAAGGGGUCCCGGGACUCGUCCCGGGCGCAGUGAAAGGGCCCAUCCGACUGUUUAGCAAAAACACAGCAUUCUGCGAACACGCAAGUGGAAGUAUAGGAUGUGACACGUGACCAAUGCCAAAAGAUUAAGGGGAGGUGUUAGCCUUCGGGCGAAGCUCUGAUCCUAAGUCCUGGUGAAUGUCGGCCGUAACUAUAACGGUCCUAAGGUAGCGAAAUUCCUUGUCGGGUAAGUUCCGACCUGCACGAAUCGUGCAACGAGAUGGGCGCUGUCUCAACAGGGAGCUCAGUGAAAUUGUAUCCGCGGUGAAGAUGCCGCGUACCCGCAGAAGGACGGAAAGACCCUAUAGACCUUAACUGUAAGCUGUCACUGGUUUCUCGAUUUUAAUGCUCAGCAUAAGUGGGAGGCUUUGAACCAUUCCUCUAGGGGAGUGGGGAGCCAUCAGUGAGAUACCACCCUUUAGCAUUGGGGAAUCUAACCUCUAGCCUUUAUAAGGCAGAGGGACCAUGGCAGCCGGUCAGUUUGACUGGGGCGGUCUCCUCCUAAAGAGUAACGGAGGAGCGCGA
rnacentral:rRNA from 1 species